GUUUAAUAUUAUCCAUAGGAUUUUGGGGAAAGCAGAGCUGCAGGUGCUGCAAGCACUGAGGCAUGAAUACUGACAUUUGUUCUUGAUUUGUGAACAAUCUAAGAGGAGGAAACCAAUACAACCAGGAUUGCAUUAGCACAGAUGAAGAUAAAAAUCCCAAUGCCCAUGGUGAAAGGUCCGAGCAUCUUCAUCCUCUCAGAGUGAAGAUGUUGUUGUAGGAAAUGCAUCAGGGGGCCCCCGGUCUGCUUAGAAGGCGUUCCUAAAAAAUCACAAAGAAAUCCAAGAUGGGCAAAGGAGCCUUUCACAGACUGCAGUCAUCCCGUUCUGCAGCUACCUUGCACAUUAUGGCUUGUGUUGGCCAAAUUUUUCUCAAGUUUGACGCCAUUUCCUCCCCCGGCGGGUGUGGUUUUUUUGUGUGGCCAGUAACCCAGCGUGGCCAUCCCGAUCCCUAUUCCCAGGAUGAUGAGUCCCAGGAAGAGGAAGAAGCCAGAGGCCGAGUAGAGGCGGAGCCUGCCCCGCACCACCACCACAUCAGUGCGCCGCUUCCUCUUUCUAAAUAAAAAAAAAACUCGAACUGAUAACAAAGCCCGAUUUUUCAAACAGAGAAAGCAGAGGCAGCAAAUGGCAAAAUAUUCUAAAAUUUCUCAAAAUCAAUAUCUCACCUAGGCGCAGGAUCAGUAGAGGGGUUUCCUAAGCCCGGCGAACCAGGUGGUACGGGUCGAUGCUGAGAGCGGGCGGAGUCCUGGCGCUUUAGCUUGGCCAAGCCUGUGAGCACACCUGCUGCUGCUGCUGUCAUACUUCACCU